GAAAAGCCAUCAACUGUCAAUAGCUGCUUGGUUAGGGGCCAGCACUUCUGGACCUCUGGCUGCGGCCUGGGACACAGAGGUAAGUCAUAUGCUGAUUAUCAUGACAAAUUUCACAGAUUUGAAGCUUCAAACUAUUUUAUUUAUUUUGGAAGAAUGUUUUCACGGUAGCCUCGAAGUUAAGAACUAAGGAAAUCUUACUCUGGUUUGUUUCUUUCCAGGUGUCUUUUUUUAAUCUCAUUUUUUUUAAAGUGCGCAUUUAGAGCUACAUUUAGAGGGUCUUGCUUCAGCUACUGUCAAGGAGGCUUGUUAGGAAGUGAGUAAAUGUAAUAAAAAUGCAACUGCACUAAGUGUGUGUCAGCUAAUUUGCAUGUCUGUGGGUCCAAGUGUGGUGCUUGUAGGGAAACAGCUGUCUGCUCUCUGUUCACAUAAGUAUG
rnacentral:lncRNA from 1 species